ACCUCUCCCCGUCCCUCGCCCUCCUGCCGCUGCUGUGACACUUUCUAAGUUGUUGCGAGCAAGAGAAGCAGUCAUCAGUGUAGGUGUGACUUUAUAGAAGGCUCUCUGGCUACAUCAUGAAAGACAGCAAGACAGCUUGGAUUCAGAAGAUGGCUGACUAUAUACAGGAGCUGAGGUAGAUCCCAGAAGACAUGGGUUCCAGUCCAGCUGUGCCUUUCCCUAGCUCUGUGACCUUGUGUCGGCCCUACGAUGCAUAACUCACAACCUGCCUGGCCAGAGGACAGGAGCUGUUUGCCCUGCCAGGACCACUUUUCAUCUUCUUUACCCGGCCUGCAUCCCAGGGAGGCUGAUCCCUAACAAUCACAUCAAGGCGCCCGCCCUUCGCCCUCGGUUUCUUACUGAGUUCCAACAACAAGAUGACCACCAGGAAGAGUCAAGGCCGGCCGCCUGCUGCCUGUCCCGCCUGCUCUCCUCCACCAGAAGUCACAGCCUCCUCUCGGCAGCCCCUCCCUCUGACUGAGUCAUCACUUUUCCCUUUGUUCGGCCAGGACUAGGGGUGGUAACUGCUCUUUCUCUUUUUUGCCCCAGGGAACCACAUCCUGGAUUUCCCUAAGCUCUUGUCUCCCACUUUUUAAGCAGUUCUUCAUUAAACUGUUUUCAAAUUUCUCAGUUUAUCCAUGUGUUUCCUUGUUAUCCAUCCUUCUAUCCU